rnacentral:rRNA from 1 species
UAGUAACUGCGAGUGAAGCGGGAAAAGCUCAAAUUUAAAAUCUGGCAGUCUUUGGCUGUCCGAAUUGUAUUCUGGAGAAGCGUUUUCCGCGCUGGACCGUGUACAAGUCUCUUGGAAUAGAGCGUCAUAGAGGGUGAGAAUCCCGUCUUUGACACGGACUACCAGUGCUUUGUGAUGCGCUCUCAAAGAGUCGAGUUGUUUGGGAAUGCAGCUCAAAAUGGGUGGUGAAUUCCAUCUAAAGCUAAAUAUUGGCGAGAGACCGAUAGCGAACAAGUACCGUGAGGGAAAGAUGAAAAGCACUUUGGAAAGAGAGUUAAACAGUACGUGAAAUUGCUGAAAGGGAAACGCUUGAAGUCAGUCGCGUCAUCCAGAACUCAGCCUGGCUUUUGCUUGGUGUAUUUUCUGGUUGACGGGCCAGCAUCAGUUUUGACCGCUGGAAAAAGGCCAUGGGAAUGUGGCACCUUCGGGUGUGUUAUAGCCCGUGGUCAUAUACAGCGGUUGGGACUGAGGACCGCAGCACGCCUUUAUGGUUGGGGUUCGCCCACAUUCGUGCUUAGGAUGCUGGCGUAAUGGCUUUAAACGACCCGUCUUGAAACACGGACCAAGGAGUCUAACAUGCCUGCGAGUGUUUGGGUGGAAAACCCGAGCGCGUAAUGAAAGUGAAAGUUGGGAUCCCUGUCGUGGGGAGCACCGACGCCCGGACCAGACCUUUUGUGACGGAUCCGCGGUAGAGCAUGUAUGUUGGGACCCGAAAGAUGGUGAACUAUGCCUGAAUAGGGUGAAGCCAGAGGAAACUCUGGUGGAGGCUCGUAGCGAUUCUGACGUGCAAAUCGAUCGUCAAAUUUGGGUAUA